rnacentral:rRNA from 1 species
CCCUUAGAUGUUCUGGGCCGCACGCGCGCUACACUGACGAAUGCAACGAGCUUAUAACCUUGGCCGAAAGGUCUGGGUAAUCUCCAAAUUUCGUCGUGAUGGGGAUAGAUUAUUGCAAUUAUUAAUCUUCAACGAGGAAUGCCUAGUAAGCGCAAGUCAUCAGCUCGCGUUGAUUACGUCCCUGCCCUUUGUACACACCGCCCGUCGCUCCUACCGAUUGAAUGGUCCGGUGAAGCGUUCGGACCGUGGCCUUUGGACGGUUCGCCGUCUGUUGGCUGCGGGAAGUUCGUUAAACCUUAUCAUUUAGAGGAAGGAGAAGUCGUANCA